rnacentral:rRNA from 1 species
CGCGCAGGCGGUGAUGUAAGUCUGAGGUGAAAACCCGAAGCUCAACUUCGGGACUGCCUUGGAUACUGCGUCACUUGAGGAUAGGAGAGGCAAGGGGAAUUCCACGUGUAGCGGUGAAAUGCGUAGAGAUGUGGAGGAACACCUGUGGCGAAGGCGCCUUGCUGGCCUAUUUCUGACGCUGAGGCGCGAAGCGGUGGGGAGCAAACA